rnacentral:rRNA from 1 species
UACGGGGGGGGCAAGCGUUGUUCGGAAUUACUGGGCGUAAAGGGUUCGUAGGUGGCCAACUAAGUCAGACGUGAAAUCCCUCAGCUUAACUGGGGAACUGCGUCUGAGACUGGAUGGCUUGAGUGCAGGGGAGGAACGCGGAAUUCCAGGUGUAGCGGUGAAAUGCGUAGAUAUCUGGAGGAACACCGGUGGCGAAGGCGGCAUCCUGGACCAAUAUUGACGCUGAGGAGCGAAAGCCAGGGGAGCAAACGGG